rfam:Solanum tuberosum cultivar DM 1-3 516 R44 scf00142_11, whole genome shotgun sequence.
UUGAAGAAUUUGGAGACCUCAACUUGCAGACUUGAAGAAUUCGAAGACUUCAACUUGCAGACUUAAAGAAUUUGAAGAUUUCAACU